AGCACAGCCAACUGCUGCUGGGCUUGGUCAGGCUCUGUGUCUGUGGUGUAAGUCAUCACUUACGUAGCCAAUGUGUCUUGUUCUAAA